rnacentral:rRNA from 1 species
UACGGGGGGAGCAAGCGUUGUUCGGAUUUACUGGGCGUAAAGGGCGCGUAGGCGGUCAGCACAAGUCAGUUGUGAAAUCUCCGGGCUUAACUCGGAAAGGUCAACUGAUACUGUGCGACUAGAGUGCGGAAGGGGCAACUGGAAUUCUCGGUGUAGCGGUGAAAUGCGUAGAUAUCAAGAGGAACACCUGAGGUGAAGACGGGUUGCUGGGCCGACACUGACGCUGAUGCGCGAAAGCCAGGGGAGCAAACGGG